UGAUUAGCUGGUUGGUGGGGUAACGGCCUACCAAGGCGACGAUCAGUAGCCGGCCUGAGAGGGUGAACGGCCACAUUGGGACUGAGACACGGCCCAAACUCCUACGGGAGGCAGCAGUGGGGAAUAUUGCACAAUGGGGGAAACCCUGAUGCAGCGACGCCGCGUGAGUGAAGAAGUAUUUCGGUAUGUAAAGCUCUAUCAGCAGGGAAGAAAAAAGACGGUACCUGACUAAGAAGCCCCGGCUAACUACGUGCCAGCAGCCGCGGUAAUACGUAGGGGGCAAGCGUUAUCCGGAUUUACUGGGUGUAAAGGGAGCGUAGACGGCAUGGCAAGCCAGAUGUGAAAUACCGGGGCUCAACCCCGGGACUGCAUUUGGAACUAUUAAGCUGGAGUGUCGGAGAGGCAGGCGGAAUUCCUAGUGUAGCGGUGAAAUGCGUAGAUAUUAGGAGGAACACCGGU
rnacentral:rRNA from 1 species